rnacentral:tRNA from 1 species
ACCCAAAUAUCUUAUUUAGAGUAUAAUAUUGAAGCUGUUAUUGAGAUAAAAAUUAUCUUUGGGUA